UACAGAGGGGGCAAGCGUUGUUCGGAAUUACUGGGCGUAAAGGGCGCGUAGGCGGCCUGUUAAGUCGGACGUGAAAUCCCCGGGCUCAACCCGGGAACUGCGUCCGAUACUGGCAGGCUUGAAUUCGGGAGAGGGAUGUGGAAUUCCAGGUGUAGCGGUGAAAUGCGUAGAUAUCUGGAGGAACACCGGUGGCGAAGGCGGCAUCCUGGACCGAUAUUGACGCUGAUGCGCGAAAGCCAGGGGAGCAAACGGG
rnacentral:rRNA from 1 species